AGCGAACGCUGGCGGCGUACUUAACACAUGCAAGUCGAACGAGGAUCAUCGGGUUAGCAAUAAUUCGGUGGUCCUAGUGGCGCACGGGUGAGUAACACGUGGGUGACCUGCCCUUGAGCUCGGGGAUACCCCCUCGAAAGGGGGACGUAAUACCGGAUACGUUCCUCGGUCGAAAGACUGAGGAGGAAAGGUGGCGCAAGCUGCCGCUCUUGGAGGGGCUCGCGGCCUAUCAGCAGUUGGCGGGGUAACGGCCCA
rnacentral:rRNA from 1 species